rnacentral:rRNA from 1 species
GUUGGAAACGACUGCUAAUACCGCAUAAGCCCACGGGUCGGCAUCGACCUGAGGGAAAAGGAGCAAUCCGCUUUGAGAUGGCCUCGCGUCCGAUUAGCUAGUUGGUGAGGUAACGGCCCACCAAGGCGACGAUCGGUAGCCGGACUGAGAGGUUGAACGGCCACAUUGGGACUGAGACACGGCCCAGACUCCUACGGGAGGCAGCAGUGGGGAAUAUUGCACAAUGGGGGAAACCCUGAUGCAGCGACGCCGCGUGGAGGAAGAAGGUCUUCGGAUUGUAAACUCCUGUUGUUGAGGAAGAUAAUGACGGUACUCAACAAGGAAGUGACGGCUAACUACGUGCCAGCAGCCGCGGUAAAACGUA